rnacentral:rRNA from 1 species
GACAGAGGGGGCAAGCGUUGCUCGGAAUCACUGGGCGUAAAGGGCGCGUAGGCGGGAUGGCAAGUCAGUCGUGAAAUCUCUCGGCUCAACCGAGAAACGUCGGCUGAUACUGCCGUUCUUGAGGGAUGCAGAGGAGACUGGAAUUCCCGGUGUAGCGGUGAAAUGUGUAGAGAUCGGCAGGAACACCGGUGGCGAAGGCGCUUCCUGGGCCUAUAACUGACGUUGAGGUGACGAAAGCGUGGGGAGCAAACAGGAUU